CCUGUUAAGCAGUGCGUAAUUCUUUCCUCUUUUACGUCUUGGAUUUACGACCUUCAGCUGGAGGACCAAACUUUUCGCUCGGCCUCCACGGCAGAGCGGCAGCAGCUGUGGUGACUUCGUGUAAAAAAGACAAUGAGAGGGCACUAUGCUUCUCUUUGCGCCUUGAACCUGAUAGUGGUGCCAGUUGACAUGGUGGGUUCAAGUUUGAUUGAACGCGCUUUUUUUUCUCAGAGAGAACUCAAAAAAGGCACUUUUAUUUCCUCCUCGUGGCCUGAUCUGUUGCCAUUCAUACGACUGAAAGCGAGGCAGGAAGAGACCUCUGGAAUAUCCCCAGUUUUUCAUAUGUGUGGUCCUUGGCAGCAGAAAAUGGACUUUUAUGGGGCGAGCAGCUGUGUAAGGAGAAGCAUUAGCAAUGCUGACUCAUUACAAAGAGUAGCUGAGACGUCUUGAGCCAAUUUAUUUCUGGUUUGGACGUGAAAGAAUCUUGCAGCCCACUUCCACAGGAUAACAGUGUGUCAGUGGAAGGAGAAAUCUCUGGUUUGGGAAGGAAGUGCCCUCUCACUGAUCGGCUCUGUUUGCCUCAUGGCUUUUCCUUGGAGCAGCUGUCCGUUAUAGCAGGCUGCUGCUGCUGCUGGGGUCGCAGAAGCUCACCGCUGCAGCUUCAAUUAGAAGACAUUGUGGACUCUGGAAUAAAUAGGAAGGAUGCAAAGAUGGAAGCAGACAGUGCUGGAUUCAGUUUCACAGCAUCUUUCAGAAGCAUGAAGGAGUUUUAAUAGUAGCUACUUCCCCUUUUUUUGACAGGACACGGAUACACCCCUAAAUGGGCCCCCCUGUGGUUCAUUGGGUUUGGGAAGUACCUAGUAGUACAACUGUCACGGUUGCUCUUAAAGGGACAGCAGGGUGUUUUAUUUUGAUUAACUAGAGGUAAUGUUGUAGAGUGUUUAAAAUGUCUUCAGUUUACAUUAAUAUUUAUUGUGUAUAAUUGCUGUGGUCAUGAUGAUUUUAAAAUUUGAGACCUGGCAAUCAAAAUAUAACUAUAUAUGGACGAAAGUGAAAAGGGGAGGGAUUUACUUUGCAGCCAAGUUCCUAAACCCAUGUGCAUUAAAACGUGCCUAUUUUCAGCAUUUUGUUGCUCAUUUUUGGCACUUGUCACUGUUAAAUGUUGGGAAAAGGUGCAAACAUUUAUGAAUAAAAUUGCCAAUACAGCAGUA